AAUGCUCGAAAGAGUGAACUAGCUAACUGAAAUCAAUAAAAAAUUGAUAACAUAAGGGAAAAUAAUGAUAUUACCUUAUUAUUAGUGUCGUCCAAAUCCGGUGCCAGAAGACUCGGUAAGGCCGGAGACACGAACGUUAAUCGUCUUAAUCAGGCGUAAAGGGUUUGUAGGCGGCUUUAAAUUUAAAAAAGUAAAGAAAAAAAGCUAGAAUCAUAUAGAGGUUAUAUUAAAUAAUGCUUAGAGUAGGUCUGAUAUCUUUAGAUACUAAGUAGAAUAUUAAAGGCGAAAGCUUUUUUCCAUUAAUGAUUGACGCUCAGAAACGAAGGUGAGGAUAGGAAAUAGGAUUAGAUACCCAAAAUACCCCUCUCUGUCAACGAUGAAUGGUAGUUAUUAGUAAAAAUUAUUAAUGGCAAUGUUAACACGAUAACCAUUCCGCCUUGUGAGUACAACUGCAAAGUUGAAAACAAAAAAAUUAGUCGGUUUCGGAGCAAACGAAGUGAAGCAUGUU
rnacentral:rRNA from 1 species